GGCUAUAAAAGAAAAUCAAAAAAAUUGAAACAGACUUAGUGCUUAUCUUCGACCACUGGUCUCGUUUCAUUAUCAGCAGGUGAAAAUCAACAGCACGAUUACGACGACAAGUGUAGAUUAUGGAAACUAAUUUCAUUGAGUUGCAAUUAGCUGUGGACCACUGUGCUUGCCUGGGUUAUCAACAGGUUGGCGAAAGAGAACAGCACUCGAAAAUAGGAAUAUUAUUAAAAACAAACAAUUGGAUGGUUUGCGUCAUUCUCUGACGCCCACGAGACCCGGUUACUAGACCCGAUACUAGAUGAAUGAAAAGGGAAGCGGGACCCGGUGGACAGUGCCCCACGCUGCGCGCCAUAUUUCCCCGGAAGCCAGUUAAGAUCGGUGCCCAUUUAGGGCAGGUUGUCAAUGGCCAGCCAGCCAGCCAGCCGCUUUGACUUUUCAUUAUGAAAUCGAAAUCAAAAUAAAAAAAUGGACAACGCCUAUGUGGUGGCCCACUGGGAUGUCCAUUGUUCGACCGCUG